rnacentral:rRNA from 1 species
UUGUCCGGAUUUAUUGGGCGUAAAGAGCGUGUAGGCGGCCUUACAGGUCAGCUGUGAAAACUCGAGGCUCAACCUCGAGACGUCGGUUGAAACCGUAAGGCUAGAGUCCGGAAGAGGAGAGUGGAAUUCCCGGUGUAGCGGUGAAAUGCGCAGAUAUCGGGAAGAACACCCGUGGCGAAGGCGGCUCUCUGGGACGGUACUGACGCUGAGACGCGAAAGCGUGGGGAGCGAACAGG